rnacentral:rRNA from 1 species
AUUGAACGCUGGCGGCAGGCCUAACACAUGCAAGUCGAGCGGAUGAGAGGAGCUUGCUCUUUGAUUCAGCGGCGGACGGGUGAGUAAUGCCUAGGAAUCUGCCUGGUAGUGGGGGACAACGUUUCGAAAGGAACGCUAAUACCGCAUACGUCCUACGGGAGAAAGUGGGGGAUCUUCGGACCUCACGCUAUCAGAUGAGCCUAGGUCGGAUUAGCUAGUUGGUGAGGUAAUGGCUCACCAAGGCGACGAUCCGUAACUGGUCUGAGAGGAUGAUCAGUCACACUGGAACUGAGACACGGUCCAGACUCCUACGGGAGGCAGCAGUGGGGAAUAUUGGACAAUGGGCGCAAGCCUGAUCCAGCCAUGCCGCGUGUGUGAAGAAGGUCUUCGGAUUGUAAAGCACUUUAAGUUGGGAGGAAGGUCAGUAGCUUAAUACGUUGCUGAUUUGACGUUACCGACAGAAUAAGCACCGGCUAACUCUGUGCCAGCCGCCGCGGUAAUAC